UGGUAUUGUUAGUGAUUUCAGGCUUAGAACAGGUACAAUGGUUAGAAAUGACAUUUAGAAGGUUAAAAGAUGCAUUUGGAUGGUUUUUGGACGAGUUCGAGUGAAGACGGAUUGAACAAUACAAGUUUUGCGAGUUCUGGUAGCUUGUGCGGCGCAUAAGUAGGGUAUGCGGUGCAUGGAAAUAUGUGAUUUUGGUCAGAAAGUCGAGCAAAAGUGUCUAUGCGGCGCACAGGGAAGUCAUGCGGUGCAUAACGGGCAAGAAGUCUGGAAGUUGAAGUUUCUGCGGUGCACAGCUAAUUUGUGCGGUGCAUAACGGGUGCCCAAAAUAUGGAAACUCUAGUUUGUGCAGUGCAUAGAUUCCUUGUGCGGUGCAUAAACUAGGUCGACUGAAAACCCUUUGAGAUUUCACUAUAAAUACAAGACCAAAACCCUCCCAUUCGACAUACAAUCACCUCCAGUCGAUUUUAGGGUUCUUUGAGGCAAUAUUCAGCAGCUUUUAUGUCCAUCAAGGUCUAAGGGUUGUUCGUGAGUUUCAAGGCAUUGGUUAUACGUGAGGUGCAGAUGCAGUUGUGGCAGUUGGGGGCAAUGUGACUCUUCAUGAGGUUGUUAAUGGAUAUUUCUGGGGUGGAAAACCAGUUUCUAAACAUGAUUCGAAGAACUUACAUGCAACAGCCUUCGUUUUAAUCCCAUUGGGAACUGGGUCUGAUUUUGCUAGAACUUUUGGCUGGUCAAUGACGGCGAGUGGGAAGUGUAUCCCCAGGUAACUGCUCUGAUGCACAAUUCUUUGGUGGCAGAAUGAGGAUCACUCCUAAUGCCCAAUCUUCAAGUGGAGAUUUUGAGGUGCAGUGCAGACUUCAUAUGCUUUUUUUCCCCUCGUGGAAUAUUGGAUACAUAUUUAGGCUUGGUCGAUAAGUUUUAUUCUAAUUCUAAUAACAUAUACAUUAAAAACUAUCAUGUAUAACUGAAGACCCUAAAAAGAAAAAGUUAUGAAAACAUCAAAACAAAA